rnacentral:lncRNA from 1 species
CGGCGCGCACGCUGCGCUCCUUCCCCUGGCAGGGGGGCGGCGGGCGAGCGGAGAGGCCCGCGGGGCUCGCGGGAGUCCAGGGGCAGACGGGAUGGGUCUCCGUGCUGAAACCCCCGGCGCUCCUGCCACAGCUUAGAAGCAAAGUUAAGAGACUCAUCAGAUUCUGAGCUGCUGCGGGAUAUUUUGCAGAAGACUGUGAAGCAUCCUGUGUGUGUGUGAAGCACCCGCCGUCAGUCAAGAAAGCCCGGUGCUUUCUCUCAGAACUCAUCAAAAAGACGUGCUGUAUUGCCCAGAAGCCAUCGUGUCGCUGGUCGGGAUCCUGCGGAGGCUGGCUGCCUGCUGGGAGCACCAGCAGUCUCCUGAGGUCUACGUGGCCUUUACCGUCCACAACCCAGAGACGUGCCAGCUGUUCACCACCGAGCUAGGCCGGGCUGGGAUCAUAUGGGAAGCGGAAGCUCAUCAUGACCAGAAACUGUUUCCCUAUGGAGAGCACUUGGAGAUGGCAAUGCUGAACCUCACACUGUAGGACUCACACACGACUCCAACGGGAUUGUGAGAAUCAAGUCAAUCUCAUGGGAAGAAUUUUUAUAUGGGAAAGCGGAUAAAACUUUCAUUGUACUGGAAUGUUUGGAGAAUGUUAAAUUCCAAAUCAGAAACCACAAACUGCCCUCUAAUAAGACAUCGGCUAUCUAAGCGUGUGGGUGCCCCCUUUCUGCCAGCAGUUCUGGUUCUUACGAAAAUCACCAUAUAUCAGACAUGAAAAUUCUGGCUUUGUGCAGAUAAAAAAGUGUGUAUCAAGUAUGACGUUCCCCCAAUGUGGACACACUUGGUUCCUCAGAAAGCCAAGCCCACUGCAGCUGCCACAUCCCUGGACACACUCGGUUCCUCACAAAGCCAAGCCCGCUGCAGCUGUCACAUCCCUGGACACACUCGGUUCCUCACAAAGCCAAGCCCACUGCAGCUGCCACAUCCCUGAGCCUAUGGUGCAGCAGGUGCUUUUUUCAAGACAGGGAUCAAAGUGUUAGGAACACGGCAGAAAGGUGACACCUGGAGACCAAAUGCAGGAUG